GGAGAGGUGGCAGAGUGGCCGAUUGCGUCACCUUGCUAAGGUGAUGUACCGGUAACGGUACCGGGGGUUCGAAUCCCCCCCUCUCCGCCA
rnacentral:tRNA from 1 species